rnacentral:rRNA from 1 species
CAGGGAUUGCCUUAGUAACGGCGAGUGAAGCGGCAAUAGCUCAAAUUUGAAAUCUGGCGCUUGCGUCCGAGUUGUAAUUUGUAGAGGAUGAUUUUGGUUAGGUACCUUUCGAGUUCCUUGGAACAGGACGCCUUAGAGGGUGAGAGCCCCGUACGAUUGGAUGCCGAGCCUUUGUAAAUCUCCUUCGACGAGUCGAGUAGUUUGGGAAUGCUGCUCUAAAUGGGAGGUAAAUUUCUUCUAAAGCUAAAUACCGGCCAGAGACCGAUAGCGCACAAGUAGAGUGAUCGAAAGAUGAAAAGCACUUUGAAAAGAGGGUUAAAUAGCACGUGAAAUUGUUGAAAGGGAAGGAUUUAUGACCAGACUUUUUCUAGGAGAAUCAUCCGGUGUUCUCACCGGUGCACUUCUUCUAGUUUAGGCCAGCAUCGACUUUCGGCGGCGGAUAAAAGCUUCAGGAAUGUAGCUCCUCUCGGGGAGUGUUAUAGCCUGUUGUAUAAUACGCUGCUGGGGGUCGAGGUACGCGCUUCUGCAAGGAUGCUGGCGUAAUGGUUAUCAAUCACCCGUCUUGAAACACGGACCAAGGAGUCGAACAUUUAUGCGAGUGUUUGGGUGUUAAACCCUCACGCGUAAUGAAAGUGAACGGAGGUGAGAGCCCUUACGGGUGCAUCAUCGACCGAUCCUGAAGUUUUCGGAUGGAUUUGAGUAAGAGCAUAACUGUUCGGACCCGAAAGAUGGUGAACUAUGCGUGGAUAGGGUGAAGCCAGAGGAAACUCUGGUGGAGGCUCGCAGCGGUUCUGACGUGCAAAUCGAUCGUC